rnacentral:rRNA from 1 species
UUCGCAAUGCCCGAAAGGGUGACGAAGCGACGCCGCGUGGGUGAGGAAGGCCUUCGGGUUGUAAAGCCCUGUCAGGAGUUAAGAAAUGUAAGUGCGCUAAUAUCGCAUUUAUUUGACGAAGGCUCCAAAGGAAGUCACGGCUAACUCUGUGCCAGCAGCCGCGGUAAUACAGAGGUGGCGAGCGUUGUUCGGAAUUAUUGGGCGUAAAGAGCACGUAGGUGGGUUUGCAAGUCAGAUGUGAAAGCCUUCUGUUCAACGGAAGAAUUGCAUCUGAAACUGCUAAUCUUGAGUAUAGGAGGGGAGAAUGGAACUUCUGGUGGAGCGGUGAAAUGCGUAGAUAUCAGAAGGAACGCCGGCGGCGAAAGCGAUUCUCUGGCCUAUUACUGACACUCAGUGUGCGAAAGCUAGGGGAGCAAACGGGAUUAGAUACCCCGGUAGUCCUAGCCGUAAACGAUGGGCACUAAGUAGAGGGGUUUU